rnacentral:rRNA from 1 species
AAGAGCGGCCAUAGUGGCCUGGUCCCACCUGUUCCCAUUCCGAACACAGAAGUGAAAUAGGUCGACGUUCCGUUGCUGUACUGUUCUUUGAACGGGAAACUCGGUUCGCUGCUCACC